rnacentral:lncRNA from 1 species
UUGGAAGAACAGAAUUCAACUGAUACAACACUGGAGGGGUGAAAACAAGACAGAGAGAGAGAGAGAGAGAGAGAGAGAGAUGAGGGGCCCGCACAUGCCCUGCUCAUCUCAAAACUUCUCGAGAAGCAAAUCUAACUUGCAGGAACUUUGAGAAAGGCAGGAGAAGCAAAAAAGCAAAAUGAGAUUGUUUUCAUAACUUAAAGAGGCUGAAAAUGAUGAAACUGGGCUGAGAUGUGUUACAGGAGCCUACACAGCUAGAAGGAUAGAUUCGAGGUCAUGCUUUGAGCAAAAGCCAUUAAAAUACAUAAAUAACAUUGUAUCACACUUUUGCCUCUCAAGUUGAGACUGCCUCUAAAUUGACUAGCGUUACAAAUAUCCUAACAGAAAACUAUCCCUAAAACCUAGAAAGCCAUAUUAUGCUUUGGCAAUCAUCUGACCAUGUACAACAAAUGUAAUGAAAACGGUAAACCUGAACCAAGGCAAACCCAACAGUUUAAUUUAAAAACUUGAAGAUACUAAGUAUUCCCUUCAACUGGACAUUCAGAAACUUCACGUGGCUACAUUGUAUUUCCCCCCACGAGUUGCUUCAGGGUUGUGAAAUUCACUGGACUGUGGAGGGAGCCUUAAACCUUUGUGGGUGAUUGACGUCUAAAGUACCUGAGCUUUUCUGGUUCUGCUGACCCUCAGUCUCCUGGACCCUAGAAGAAGAAUCAGACCCAUCCUUCAGUCUCAUCUCUAGAAGCCCAGAAUAAAAUGAAAAAGAGAUGGGUUUUCGCCAUGUUGCCCAGGCUGGUCUCAAACUUGUGAGCUCAAGAAAUCCACCUGCCUUAGCCUCCCAAAGUGCUGGGAUUACAGGAUGAGCCACUGAGCCCAGCUGACUCCAAGCUUUUCUAAUGAGGUUUCUGGGCCACAGAGUGGAGACAGUCCCUAUCCUCAAAGGAUGCUACAGUGCAUUGUCAAAGACCAAUGCGUCAAAAUACUUAUGGAAGAAGGUGCCCAAAAGUUCGAAGACAGUUAUCUACACGGGAGGUGUAAGAAAAUCACCUUGGAAUACCCAUCUCGGAAGAACAGGUGUGAAUGCCCUUGAAUCACUUGGAGAGCUUCUCUUCGAUGUUAAAUUAUUGUAGUAACACCAAGCUCACCACCCAGAAUGAUGCAGUCAGCCUCCCCUGGAAGGAAUGAAGGUCGUAGUCUCCUCUCCAUAGAUGUGUCUCAUUUUCUAUUUAAAAAAAAAAAUGUGAAUUCAGGCACUGCGUUUGAAAAGUUUGGCAGCAAAACAAAUGUCCAGUCCAUGUCCUGGGUCCUAGGGGAGGGCAAAAAAUGGCCUCCUGGCCCAUGGUGUGGCACACACAUGCCCUCCUCUCCUGGCUGCCUUGUGCCCAGGCCCAGCCAGAGGCCUGAAAUGUGGCCAUGUAUGGCAACACGGACCGUGAAGCCCGGAGAUCUGCAGCAUCAAGCCCCAUGCAUGAGCGAAGAGAGCACUGACAGCAGAGGAUAGUCCUUCCUCUGAGAAACACGGUUCUUACAGGGUUGGGGACAAGAGGCAUUCUGCAGCUGGGAUCAGCCUCAGCUUGGCAGGAGAGGAUCAAGCACCCUAGGGGACUCAGUGUGGCAGGAAGAACUCAGAGCUCCAUCCUGUGGCUGCUCAGGGGCUGAAGCAGAGGCAUUGCCUUUGGACUGUCCAAUGCCCUGAGGAUUUUGGAUACGGUGAGUCUUUCUGCUAAAGAGGCAUGUGAGGUCCUUGGGCAAUUGUUUAAAAUAAGAACAGGUGACCAUAUUUGCACCCCAAUAUGAGGAAGAGUUUACAAAGGCUUCCAUUAUUUCCACAAAACUACAGAAACAGGCCUCGUGAUUCAGGAGACUGAAGGGACCUGGUGGACAAGAAUAAGAGCCAAGUGAAUCAAAGGUUUCUUUAAGGGAACAAACAUCAGGACAGAAUUUCAUGAAGUGGUAACACAACUAGAAAGGAGCACAGAAAAACCAGUGCAUCCCGCUUUUGUAUAAUGAAGACCCUGUAAGGGGUAACAAGACUCAGUCAAGGUCAAGUGAAGCAGAUGGGUACAAACGAGCGCAAUGCAAGCAAAUGAAAGUGAUGCCGUGACCUGACUGCCGUGGUUAGAGGACUUCUUAUGCUCAAGCACAAAGAACAGACCGUAAGGAGCAGCUGUGAUCCAGGGAACCGGAUAGGAAGAUGUUGCCUGGGCCAGAAUGACCCUACGAACAGAAAAACUGAGAUCUACAGAAGUUUAUGGAAAAGUACCCAUGAUCACACUGCUGAUAUGUGGCAAACCUGAGCUAUAGAUACCAGGCUUUACAGAAGCAGAAUCAGGUUGUGGUUGCAGAAAAAAUAAGAACAGCGAAAGACGCGUGGGGCAUCACAUCUCCAUCUUGCAGGAACUGGCAGCGAUGGUCCAGGCCAACGCCUCUCGAGGUGGCCUCCUCCUCCCAUGUGAGGGAAGGACUCACCAGGGGCUUCCCUGCUGGUAGGGCUCAGAGACGUUACUGUUAUUUAACUCCAAACCCAUCACCGGCGCCUGAGAUGCAGGCUUGUGUGCGGGGCAGAUGGCCAGCUGUCAGGGAGGACGUGAGCACUUCACUUUCAAGGACCGGUUCUGACCCUGGAGCACGCAGGGUGCGGCCUGGCGCUGAGUCCCGUGUUACUCACCUCAACGUGUUUUAACGCUGUUUCCUCCUUCCCAUUUGAUAACCCACCUCUUCGACAAACGACCUUCAAUAUUUGAGUGGUAACAGAAACGGAGCCACUGUGGCAAUAAAUUGCUCAUAAGCUUGGACAAAAAAAAAAAAAAAA